AAUUGAGUACCUUCACUACAAGAAAAAUGGGAAACAAUGACGUUUUUUAAGCGUCAAGAAAGGUAACAGAUGACGCUUCUCUAAAGCGUCCUCUUCGCCUCUGUCAUUGUAUGUCUUAGGCAACAAUGACACUUUCAGGAAGCGCCAUCUUUGAUAAAAUAAAGGUUUUGUUUUUGGCUGAAAAAUGACUUUCCAAAACUCAAAAUCCGAUCGUCACCGUUCAAAUUUAAGAUUAAUGACUUAUGAACCUCUCCUCCAAAUUUCAGCUCAAUCAGACCAUGAAAAAAGCGGCAUCGGACCUUUGAUGAAAUCUGGGCAUGAUGUAAAAAACCACUGUUUUUCUCUCUUCUCCUCUUUCUCUCUAAUGACUGUCCGAAACUCCAAAUCCGAUCUCCACCGUUCAUAUUGAAGAUACAUGAGCCACGAACCUCUCCUUCAAAUUUCAACUCGAUCGGACCACGGACGAAGCGGGAUCGGACAUUUGAUGAAAUCUGGGCAUGAUGAGAAAAACCUACGUUUUUCUCUCUUCUCCUCUUUCUCUCUAAUGACUGUCCAAAACUCCAAAUCCGAUCUCCACCGUUCAUAUUGAAGAUACAUGAGCCACAAACCUCUCCUUCAAAUUUCAACUCGAUCGGACCACGGACGAAGCGGGAUCGGGCAUUUGAUGAAAUCUGGGCAUGAUGAGAAAAACCUACGUUUUUCUCUCUUCUCCUCUUUCUUUCUAAUGACUUUCCGAAACUCCAAAUCCGAUCUUCACCGUUCAGAUUGAAGAUAAAUGAGUCACGAAACUCUCCUCCAAAUUUCAGCUCGAUCGGACCACGAACGAAGUGGGAUCAGACCUUUGAUGAAAUCUGGGCAUGAUGAGAAAAACUUGCAUUUUUCUCUCUUCUCUUCUUUCUCACUAAAAACGGUGGCUCUCUCCCUUCUUUCUUGUCUUCCAAAAGUUAGGGUUUUCAAUGGAGACUUUAUAACAAAUUCUAAAAUACCAUGCAUGUCCUUUUUCAAUAAAUUAAAAUAGUAUUCUUUAUU
rnacentral:lncRNA from 1 species